rnacentral:rRNA from 1 species
AACCUUUAGCAAACCCAAUAUUAAAGGCAACGCCUGCCCAGUGAAACUAUUUAACGGCCGCGGUACCCUAACCGUGCAAAGGUAGCGUAAUCAUUUGUCUAUUAAUUGUAGACCCGUAUGAAAGGCCACAUGAGAGCUAAACUGUCUCUUGUAACUACUCAAUUAAACUGAUCUUUUAGUCCAAAAGCUAAAAUACCUCUAUAAGACCAGAAGACCCUGUGAAGCUUAAACUAACCCGUUAAACCAAAUAACGGCCACUUUCGGUUGGGGCGACCUUGGAAUAAAAAAGAACUUCCAAUAUAAUGACUAUCCCUCAUAUUAAGGCCAACAAGCCACAGUACGACCCAGUCCACUGACUAACGAACCAAGUUACUCCAGGGAUAACAGCGCUAUCUUCUUCAAGAGCCCAUAUCAAAAAGAAGGUUUACGACCUCGAUGUUGGAUCAGGACAUCCUGGUGGUGUAGCCGCUACCAAGGGUUCGUUUGUUCAACGAUUAAUAGUCCUACG